rnacentral:lncRNA from 10 species
CCUUUUGCUCAUUUCACUUGGCUGAUGUUUGCCUGAAAACUUCCUCCAACUACGCACUCUCUGAGAACUUCCUAGAUGAGGACUUGCUGCUGCAGAGGCUCUGAUAUGCUCUCCUGCUGUGGGGUACACGAGGCUGUUUUUCGGACACUGAGCUUUCUGAGCAUGAUUGAACAUUCAGCUCAAUCUAGUUCAAGGUCUCAGGCUGAAGGACACAGCUUCUACAUGGUGCAUGCUGUUCUCCUGGUGGCUGAAGGAGCAAGUGGAAACAUGCUAUGCCUCUUAAAGACUCUGAUUAUGAUGGAAAAGAACAAGUAAGUAAGACAGGAAAGAAAGAAAGAGAGAGAAAGGAAGGAAGGAAGGAAAGAAGGAAGGAAGGAAGAAAGAAAGAAAGAAAGAAAAAGAAAAGAAAAUAAAAAAAGAAAAAAAAGAAAGGCU